UCUUUCAGGAGAAUGAAAUGGAUGAAAUGUCUUCAUCUCCAGUUCCGGGAGCUUUGCCAUCUUCUCAGCAAUCGUCCAGCGCAGACCUUUCGGAUGUUCCGGCUCUCCCGGCUAAUCCAAUUCCAGUUAUCAAGAAUUCUAUAAAGCUAAGACUGAACCGAUAAAACUCCUCCCAAUCUCAACACCUCAGGGUCCAUAACCAACCUAUUGCCAGAUAAACUGCGUGGUCUCUCCAGGGAAAGGAGGGACGACGAGGAGAACAUGAGUGAUGGGAACACUGCGUAGACUCCUUUUUAUUGGGCUGUAACCAUCUUUUUCCAGGAGGCCCCAGGUUAGUAUGAUGGGAAUAAGCUCAACUAACAGGUUGCCAUCAAUCCUAAAAGAUGAUGAGCGUUACUAAAGGACUCCAGUCCAGAAGAGAGCGAGCCGGUGAGACUGAUCAUGUUUCUAUCUGUAUCCAGUAAUUAGUUUGUGUAACUCUUUUUUGCAAAGAUCGACAAUACAAUUGGCCUAAAAAAAAAAACUAAAAAAAAAGUCAUAGCUGAUGCACUUUUAUGUUACCUGUUCCUUUUUAACAGUAGUGAGGAUCUUUUACACGGGUUUCUUUUAAAUCGUCCUUUGCUUUCUUUCACGUGCUUAGAGUUGUGCAUGUUGGGUCCCAACACUGGAUGUCUGUCUUUUUUUUUUUUUCCCGAUGGCUUUACUGAAAAUGAAAGUGAACAUUUUGCUGUUUUUCGUCUUAACCAUUAGAUUAUAAUGUGAGGGUUGACGCUACAAUUUAGGCCAAUUGAAGGGAUUUUUUUUUUUUUAAUCAUUCAUGACCAUGUGACGUACAGUUGGUUAUUAAACCCGAAUCGUCAAAGUACUGUCUACGCUCAUCACAGUUCGAAAGCUUGCGAGAAGUACGUGUCACGUGACCUGUGAUGGCCAGUAAGAACGUUCUACUGAUUUUCAAUCAGAUAUAAACGUUUUCUAUAGGCGACUUCUAUUUAGACUUGCCGCAAUGAGUGCGCUAGCUGAGCUAAGCUAGAGAACAAAUGGUGGAAAUGUUGCUGGUCGUCCAUCUAGCAGUUUUUUUUUUUUUCUUUUGUAACAUUCUGCCAUUUUGUUUUGGAAUUGAAGCUGUAAUCUGUCCUGGAAGUUAUGUAGGAUAUAGGAAGUGUAUCCAUAAGGGGUGUUCGUCGUACCGUCAUAGCUAGUUUAAAA